CCUACGGGAGGCUGCAGUAGGGAAUCUUCCGCAAUGGACGAAAGUCUGACGGAGCAACGCCGCGUGAGUGAAGAAGGUCUUCGGAUCGUAAAGCUCUGUUGUUAGGGAAGAACAAGUAUCGGAGGAAAUGCCGGUACCUUGACGGUACCUGACGAGAAAGCCACGGCUAACUACGUGCCAGCAGCCGCGGUAAUACGUAGGUGGCAAGCGUUGUCCGGAUUUAUUGGGCGUAAAGCGCGCGCAGGCGGUCCUUUAAGUCUGAUGUGAAAUCUUGCGGCUCAACCGCAAGCGGUCAUUGGAAACUGGGGGACUUGAGUGCAGAAGAGGAAAGCGGAAUUCCACGUGUAGCGGUGAAAUGCGUAGAGAUGUGGAGGAACACCAGUGGCGAAGGCGGCUUUCUGGUCUGUAACUGACGCUGAGGCGCGAAAGCGUGGGGAGCAAACAGGAUUAGAUACCCUAGUAGUC
rnacentral:rRNA from 1 species